AUGUAGAAGAACAAUUUUUUGUUCGUUAAAAUUUAAUCUCAGUAUUUUUUUUAAUCAUAAUCGUUAAUUAUACAUUUUUUUGGGUAAUUAAGUGCAGUUUUUAUAUGAAUAAUCAAAAAUGAAUAAAAAAUUUCGUGGCAGCUGUGAGGAAAAAUAAUUCAGGUGUCCAAUUUUUGUGAAUGAUGGGUGCUUGUUGCGGAGCUGCUCCUGGAGGAGAUCUUGCAUUGCUGAGUCGCAGUUCAAUGCAUUUGGUCAAGAAGAUUUUUUCAUAUUUAAAAAGAGGAUAUGCAGUCAUCGUAUUUUAGACACUACGCAGAAAUUGUCUCAUAUAGGUCCAUUUCAAUUUUUCCAAAUAUAUCUGAAAAGACUAGGAAGGAUGUGGAAGAAGAAAAGUGGUCCCUGCAUACAGUUUUUUUUUAUAAAUUUUUUUUUUGCAUUUUUUAUUACUUUUUUUUUAUAUAAUUUUUUUUUUGUGGCUCCCAACCUUUCGCAGAAGUGCGAUGAAGUUGAGGGAUCUUUGGGAGUUGACCUGAAGCGCUCGAGAAGUGGCGAUGACGUUAUUGCCCCAACGUUGGGAUGAUUCGCCGAUCGUUGAGUCGUUUUUUAUUUAACCCCUUCCCUGUUUAAAACAAUUUAUUAUUUUUUAUAAAUUCAAAAAAAAAAAAAAAAAAAUAGAGUCAUAAAUUGAAAAUGAAUUUUUUUUACAUUUAUAAAUUUUAUAUUUUAUUAAUUUUUAUUUUAUAAAUUUUGGAAUUCAUUUAACUAUUUAGAAAAAUAAAUGUUGAUGGAGAUAAAAAUAUUAAAAAUUAGAAAAAUAAAAAAACAGGGAAGGAAUUUUGACAACAUAGUGACAGCAUUGACAAAAUUUAUUAUUUUCUAGUUAUUUUUUAGGGGUAAUCUAAAAAAAGAAGCUUGUGAUAUUUUCGAAAAUUAUCCCCUAAAAAUUUCUAACACUUUCCACAUUCUAAAAUAUUACAUGCUUCGUAGAUUACUACCUUAAUACUACGUAAAUUAAUAUUAUUGUCAAUGUUUUUUUUUUUUUUUUCAUUGUUUAUG